rnacentral:lncRNA from 10 species
GGGUUAUACAUUCUGGGAAGCCACGCAUAAUUAAUCACACGGCAUUAAUCCGCCUCCCCCAACAAUAGCUGCUGCACUUCCCCUGGAUCCCAGCUGUCGGUCUCUGAAUGAAAGGAAACAAGAUUUAGGGCAUCAAGCGUCCGUGCGGCUUCUGCAGAGGGAGAAGGGGGCCCCAAAAAGCAAAAAAAAAAAAAAAAAAAAAAGUAGUGCGCAUUCAUUAGUGUCUGACAAAGACACAAUCGGCUUUGUCCAUUAAACUGCUCACAGACCUGCUUAAUUGGCUUCAGUUUGGGGAGGGUGGGGGCCGGGGAGGGAGGGGGCCUGCUGCCCACAGGCUGGGCAGUCGGCACAGGCAGGAGCCGGGCUGGGGUUGUCAAGGGAAUGGGACCUUCUGCAGUUGGAAUGAGGGCGCGCAGACUGGCUGGGGAGCCAUUUCUUCAUCUGUAGCUCCUGGGGGGCGGAGGGAACUCUUUUUCCAGACACCAAACACCUCCUCAUUAUUCUCAUCAGGGAUGGACUCAAGUUGAAGGGCAUCGGCCACAGCAGAACAGUUCCCCACGGCUGAUGGGCACUCACAGGCAGGCAGGAGGGAGCGGUUCCGCACGACUUCCCGGCCCCCUCAGUGCCCAUUUUACAUCUGAGGCUGGCAGACCAGAAGGGCCACGGGAUUUUGAGGUCAGAGUUUGCAGAUGCCAGGACAGAAACCAGACUCAAUAAUUACCCCACACCCCACGCCAAAACAUGAGUUCCACCUUCUCUUCCCCAGCCCCAGCCUGAGGCCGGGAAGAGGGAGCUGGGGCAAACAGAGAGCCCAAAGGCGGGUCCGAUUUUGAAGAGUCAAUUUCCUUUGAAGAGGCAUCACCCACCCGGAGGUGGCAUCACCUGCCCAGGAAGUAUCACCUGUGCCUAGAGGAGGCAUCACUACCAGCCCAAGAGGCAUCACCACCCACCUAGGAGGCAUCACCCCCGAGAGGAGGCAUCACCUGUGCCCAGGAGGCAUCACCCGCCCAGAGGAGGCGCCCCAAGUUGGCAGGGUGGUGGGGGCUGGGCCUCUCAGUAAAUGGUCCAGAGCUUCCCCUGGCAGAUCAACUGUUUCUUGGGGACUUAAAGAAGAAUUGGGGUACUGGGACUCCCACUUAGUGACCCCGGAGCCUGAGGUGGCCCACGGAGGAGUGCCCAAGCCCUCAGCAGCCAGACCAGCUCCACACGCAGCAUAAUUGCUGGUGAUUAAGUAAUUGCCAGACUUUGUCCAAUAAAAGUCAGCACGUGACCGUGCCCAGACUCUGGGCCAUCUCCAGAAGACAAUGGCCUAGUGUUCUGUCCCCUGCGCGGCUGCAGAAGGCAGGGGCUCUGCCCUCGACAAAGCAACAGGUCCCGCAGGGGUGGUACUCACACGCAGGCCUCCGUGCCAUUGGCCGCUUCACACUUCCCGCCAUUCAGGCAGGUCUCACCGGGCUGGGAGCAUCGCGGGCCUAGGCAGGGGCAGGAGAAGAGAGGUCAGUCUCACCCGCACCACCACCACCGAAGGCCCUGGUUACCCUGGGGGCGGGGACCUGCACCCAGCCAAGGGGCAUCGUCCGCCCCCUACCCCGGACGCACUCUGCUCAGUAUCAUGGGUUGCUGGGGCACGGGUCCGCAGGAAGCCCCUCCAUGAAACCAAAGGGGCGUCAACAUUCUGCCCAGAGUUCUGUAGUCAGAAAUGGGGGGAAGGGGAGCAGCAGGGAACACGUCCUGCUUGAAGCAGGGUGGGGUGGCCUGAUGUGCCGCCUGGACGCAGUGGGGGAAAAGCAGAGACAAAGUGGGCUACUCUCCAAAGCGUUGCCCCCCACCCUGGAGGCUCACUGAGGAGUCUGGCAGGGCAGGGCCCCCCAUCCAGCCGCCGAGAUUGCCUCUGUUCAAACCCGUUCUGCAAGGGGGCAGAGCUGGACGGGGGGAGGGGGGGUGGCCACACUCAGCUCCCGCCCGUGGGAAAAUGCGACAGCUGCUCGCCCGCUACCCCGCCCGCCAACAAAGCGCCGGCCUCCGCCUCAGAAUCAGAGCGGCCCAUUGUGGAGUCGGGGCCGCCUCCAGGGGCACCGGGACAGCACCCUGGGGACGCGGCCCCGCCUCCGCCGACACCCAAUACCUGCCUCCGCGGGCGCGCAUCUCCAGGGCAGCCCCCAUACACCCACAGGAGGGGGAUGAAGGUCCCCCAUUCGGAAGGAAUUCGACCCCAUCUCGAGAAGGGAUCAAUUACUCAAGCCCCUCCCUCCCCAUCUUACCGGGGCUGAGAAACGGGGGAGGGGGGUGUGACACAGAGCCGCACUUUCUGGAAGAGGACAGAUAAUUCUCGCCUCCAACUCUCGGAGAAAGAGUGGAUUAAUCACUCGAUUCCCCAGAGACCCCGCUCGCUGUGCG